UACGAGAGCUUCAAGCGUUAUCCGGAAUCACUGGGCGUAAAGGGUGCGUAGGCGGUUAUGUUAGUCGUUCGUUAAAUCUCCGAGCUCAACUUGGAAACCGCGAGCGAAACGGCAUAACUAGAGAGUGUGAGAGGUGUACAGAACUCAUGGUGUAGGGGUGAAAUCCGUUGAUAUCAUGGGGAAUACCAAAUGCGAAGGCAGUACACUGGCACACAUCUGACGCUCAAGCACGAAAGCGUGGGUAGCGAAUGGG
rnacentral:rRNA from 1 species